GUGAGGAAAAGAAGUUCUUGGCUUUGGAAAAGGCUGCCAUUCAGUCCACUCCUGAGCAUGGAAUCAGCAGGGCUCAAACCCACAUCAAGACCUCCCUCACUCAGCCACUUCUCCCCUCGUCAACAGAAAAUGUUUGACCGGCAAAGCCUCUUAACUCUUAACCACACAGUUGGCCGGAGAGCCAAGAUCCCAUGAAAAAGAAAAAAAAGGCAGUACUGCUCUAUUAAUUAAGAUGGCUUGUGUGUGUAUGAAGAAGUUCUUUUAAAUUUUUUUUCCGUAUGUUUCAGUCAUUUCAUGUUAG
rnacentral:lncRNA from 1 species